AAGUUCUUGCAUGCAUUCCCUAUCUCCUUAACCAGACCAUCAAGUGCUUGAGAGUUAUCCAAGUUGGUGUUAGGAGAACUAAUUAUGGAUAAAUCAAUUAAGGGUAUUCCUUCUGCUUUGAUGAUCUCAAGCUUUGGCCUGUGCUCAAGGUCUUGAAUGAAGGCUGGAUUAACCUCUCCCAUGAUGAUCUCUCUCUCUCGAAUAAUUUGUUGUAAGCAAAAGGGUUGUGGGGUAUGGUCUUAUUUAUGCUUCGAGAGCUGGUUUAAUACAAAGUGAACCUAGACAGACUCUGUGGUGUUCUUCGGAUGGGGUAAACUAAGUAGGUAGAUGCAGACAGAUUAUGUGACGUUUGUGCUGGCAAUUUUUUUUUACAAAAACAUUUUUCGACCUAAAAAAUAACACUUGUCUAAACUUGGUUCAUGCAAGUUGAAGAUGCUUUACGUUUCUCUAAUUUAGAUACAUUGAAUGUAGACAUUUUUUUUAUGGAUAUCGCGACAGUAAAUUAGUAUUUUUUUUUCUUUAAGCCACCGAAACAAAACAAAAAUAAAUAAUUUUGAACGGUGUAAUUUAAUUGAUUAGUUUCUUGAUUUGAUCACUAUAAAUCAUCAGUUCGAGUUCUAUAAAUUUCAGGGUCAUUAAAGGUUUACAUGGUCGUUAAUUUCAGGGCCCGUGAGAUUAAUUGAGGUGCAAGCAAGCUAACCCAGACACCCAAAUUUAUAAUAAUAAAAAAAUUUUCAUAUCAUAAAAUCAUUUUAAACCAGACUGCCCUGAUGCUAUAUUGCUACGGCUAGAAUGGGGGUGUUUCUCCAAUCCGACAAGUGCUCUAGUCUGGAAGCAUAUGUUCGGACCGGUUCCGACUUCAGAUCUAUCUCUAUUUAUAAUUAUAAUACCAAGCUAGGUCUAAUUUGGUCUGAGAUUCGGGUCAACUUGUGAGUUGAUGGACCGAUUCAAUUUUUUAUUAAAACAAUUAUUUUGGAUUUUUAUUUUAAAAAUAAUACAUCAUUUUUAUUUGGUAAAAAAGCCACAAAUUUAAAAAAAAAAGAAGAAGAAGGGAAUAAUUUUUGAUGAAAUUGAAAAUUUUAAUUACAUGAAAUUUUUGAAAUAUCCUCUGAAAAAAAUUACCUUAAAGAUGACGUCAAUUACAACAUGUUGUCAAUAAUUUUUUGGUUAUGAAGAAGUAUGGAACCCAAGAAAAAUAAAAAACGGAGGCAAAUUUGGUGUAUGGUUUAAGUUUAGGAUGAAGAUUUAGGUUGGAGAUGAGUAAUUUUUUUGAGUGUUUGAUUGAUUUGGUGACAAACAAAAAUAUAAUUAUAAGAUCUUAUAAUUGGAAACAUAAUUGGUAAAAAAGUGAAAAUUUAGGAGGUGAAGAGGUUGAAUGAAAGGCAAGAACAAUGAAGAGAAAUGAAAGGCACACUAAAAAGAAGGGCAAGAAAAUGGAUGAGAAAGAAGACAAGUGAAGUAAUGACAUGGUUAUUUUGAACCAUAAGAAAUUCAACGGUUUAAUGGUGUCGAUGCACUCUGUGCAGUUGUGGUUAGUAUUCAGCAAAAGCAAGUCAUGCUUGUUUUUACUAAACCUGUGGUUGCAACAUAUAAAUUAUGGGUCCCACGAGUUGAAAGUGUGGUUGUCAAGCUAAUCAAACAAUAUAAUUUCGUGGUUUUAACAUAGAAGUAAAUACAAAAACAAAUAGGAUCUAAGGAUUUUAUUUAUUUUUAAACAACAUCAUGUCCCUUUUUUUCUUUUUACAAUUUUUUUUUAGACUAAUCUUUAUUAUUAUUUUUAUUACAUUUGACUCACUAAAAAAACUUAUUAUUGAUGUUUUUUGGAUUAAGGAUUUUCUCUUUAAUAAAAAUUCAUCAACACACGUGUGACAAAUCAAAAAAUCAGAAAUUUAUGGAUUAAAAUGAAAUUGAACACAUUUCCCGAGAAAUGCCUUUUUUUUUCCAAGAAUUUUUAUUCUUUUCAAUUUUUUUUUUUGUUGUUUUUCUUUUUUUUAAAAAAUAUUGAAAACAGGGUAAAAAACAAACGAGCGAUGACAAGGCUUGCUCAAUUAUAUAUCUUCUUCUCUUUCAGAUUCACGAAUAGAAUCAAUCCACAUCAACAAAAAUAACGCAAUAUUGCACCUUUAUUCAUACCAAAUCCCAUUAUUUUUAUACACGAUACUGCUGAAUCUCAUAGAAGAGACUUUUUUCUGUAGAAGGUAGUGAUUUCUUGUUACUUGAUGGACAGUGCUCCCUCUAGCUUAUCAGCUAACUCGGACUCUGGUAUCCUGAAGUGAUAAAUUUGGAUGUUCUCAACAUCAAGCUUCUUGAAAUUACCGCGCUUUCUUGUGACAAAAAACUUUCCCCAAUUGUAUGGCUUGUAUCUGACAGGGUUUUGCUCAUUUGUCAGCUCCUCCAGGGGCUUCACAUCUGUAUAGUGUGCCGGGUUGAAGAAAAACGGAAUGGAAAACCUUUCCCUCUCAGAGUUCACCAUAACUCUAUGUUCCACACUCUCAUAAGCAUCAUUGCUCCAAACCUGCACAAGAAGUAAAGAUUCUACCAAGUGACUUCGGCAAAUGCAAAUCUCAGAAACAAAAGCCUGCCAGAUAAUUGAUUAGUGUUAAUUGCUAAAUCAUCUUAUCGUACUGUGAUUUUGGUGAUGGUACCUGGAUAAUGUCACCAACAUUGAUGAUAAAGGCAUCCGGGGUUGGCUUAACACGAAUCCAUUCCCCGUCUGUUUUUCUUUUGACUUCUAGACCCCCAACAUCAUCUUGAGCGAGGAUGGUCAAGGCUCCACCGUCCUUGUGUCGACCAACGCCAAGAGCUAGUUGUGGAACAGGGCAAGGGGAAUAAUGAUUGAGUCUAAGGAAGCUGAUUUGGUCUUCAAAGAAUCCAUGGAACCUAUUCUCUGGUAAGCCUAGACUCAGGGCAACGAGCCCCAGCAACUUGAAGGCUAGUUUCUCCACGUCUUUAGCAUAUUCUUCCAAGGCCUCCCUGCAUGCAAGACCAAAGAAACAUUCAUAAUCUUAUAUUAUCAAAGAACUUGUAGAUUGGCCUAAAGUUGCGGUAGCCAAAAUUUCUUCGACUGGUGUAGGGGGACCGAACUAAUCACAAAAAACUACACAUUCUAUACAAUUUGGGUUCACAUGAAUCUCAUCCCUGUAAAAAAUCUCCGAUAAGCAGCUCUUGAAUCUAAUUUUCUUUCAAUGGAUUAGAUUCCAACAAUAUGAUUGGUAUGAUUUAUAUGGAAUAAAACUAGUUUGUCUUUUAUAGCAACUAUAACAUGAGACUUUCACAACCAGUGAAUGCUAGCUAGCAACAAAUUCUCUCUUGUUGAACACCAACAUGCAGAUCUCUAUCUUGAUUUUAUUGCUCACAGCUGCAACAAGUAAACAAGUUGUCCAAAUUGUGCAAAAGUUUUGUUUUUUUUGUUUUAAAAAAAAGUACAGUUACCUUAGUUCAAGGGGAUACUCGGGCCACUGAUCAUGAAACCAUUCGGUAACUUCCUUGUCAUCAGGCUCAUACGAGGAUGGUACAAUGGUUGGAGUCUUCACAGCAAAAUCAAACACUUCUUUCCAGUCCCUAACAUUUUUGGUAUGCUCGGUGUCAGAAUAACCCAACACCUUCCGCCCGUCUCUCCUAACCUUCCUUUUCUCCUCUAAUGGCUGACCGAAAAAUUGUCUUGAUGCAUUCUCAAUCUUUUGUCGCUUGUCAAGAGGCACCCCAUGAUUGAUCACUUGAAAGAACCCCAAGUUCUUGCAUGCAUUCCCUAUCUCCUUAACCAGAUCAUCAAGCGCUUGACAGUUAUCCAAGUUGGUGUUACGAGAACAAAUUAUGGAUAAAUCAAUUAAGGGUAUUCCUUCUGCUAUGAUGAUCUCAAGCUUUGGCCUGUGCUCAAGGUCUUGAAUGAAGGCUGGAUCAACCUCUCCCAUGAUGAUCUCUCUCUCUCUCUCUCUCGAAUAAUUUUUUGUAAGCAAAAGGGUUGUGGGGUAUGGUCUUAUUUAUGCUUCGAGAGCUGGUUUAAUA
rnacentral:lncRNA from 1 species